GUCAUUUCAAUGCUUCAUAUUCAUGUGACAGCACGACAGCAUGGAAGAGACGCUGGAGAAACAGAUCCUGCCAUCUGAAGAGAACGAUUCUGACCAAGGUGGAAUUCGUCUGCGGUUGAGAGACAGAGACCUGCUGAAGAAACGAAAGGCAGAGGCAGAGGAAAAGACAACCUACCGGGCUCAAAGCAUUAAACGAGUGAAAAAGAGGAGCAGCGGUGCCCCGGGAAGGAAAGGUCGACCAAGAAAAGAAGCGUGUGUGGAUGUUCCAGAAGAUCAGGCUCAGGAAACAGAUGCUGUGUCCGUCACAGAGCCUGCCCUGCCCACGAUAGCAGAGCCGCUGACCGCGAGCGAAAAUCCUCUGGAAGGCUUUCUGAUCGAGCACCUGGGGCCCGAAGAGGAGAAGAGCCUCGUCACUGAUGCAGGUGAUGUUCCUGAACAGAGUCAGAGCUCGAGGAAUCCUGCAGCUCCAGCUCAACCUGAUGAUCCCACUCUCUUUUCUACAGAAGAAUGGGUUUAACUAACCAAUCUAAGCCUGAAACAAGAACAAAUGUAUAUUUAUUAAAAAUCACAAUUCCAUGUGUAUAUGACACUCAUCAGUACUCUGUCAAACAAUACUGAUAUAUUGUUCAUAAUAAUAAUAAAAGUUACAGUAUAGCUCUUCUGUGCCCUCUAGUGAUUGUAAACUAGAGCUUCGC
ensembl:lncRNA